CCUUCCUAGACCCCCUCCCAUCACCCUUCUUCCUCCCACACCCCAGCCCCCGAUCCACCCACCCACCACCGGUCGUGCUCCGCCCAACUGACCCCCGGCGCCCCACCAGCACCCACCUCCGGUGCCCCAACGCGCCACCAGGUCCGCCCAACUGCCCCACCUACUCCGGCGCUCCCUUCCACGCCCACGGCAACCCCGUGUUCUCCGCCCGCUUCCUCGACACCAGCGACACCCAGGAACUCCCGCCCAUCGCAAUGCCAACAAGCCCCCUGGCCCAUGCGCCACCAUGAAUCUCGCGGCCCGACCGCCCGACACCCACGCGCCACCACACCUCGGCACCCCGAUCCGCCGCUGCCCUCCAUGCCACAGAGACGGGCCACCCCGGCCCAUAUCCACCAUGGACGACGACAUGCCGUUGUCACUUCCGUCCAUCCCUUCCUCCUCAUCAGAUGUAGUCGUAGGGAAAGGCCCGUGGUGUACUGGUCGGGACGCGCCCACUGGCCUGAACCAGCACCCUAGCGAGAGCCCAUUCUCCAAUAGGUGAAUGUCUCCGACGACGCGAGCUGAGGCCCCGUUGAAAAUCGGAUGAGAUGAAGUGGUGGAGUUCGGUUCGAUGCCCACGCGAGUCUCCUGCUCCAUGAAUCUGAGUUCGCCUAGAUCCUCGGUGUCUGUUUCUUGGUGCCCCUUCGGUGGCUGGAGAGACGAUGGCAUGGGCUCCCCUACACCACAACACCAGGGCAGCGCUCAUCCUCCGCUGCCGCAUCCUCUGCUUGCAACCGUCGUGUGGGACGAGCGGGAUCCAUUUGGGCUGCAGUUCAUGGGUGCAGCAUGUGCGGUGCACUCGGUCUGGUGCUGCAGCUUAUUCAGUAUGUUGUUCUCUAGGGAGACAACACCAAUGACCACUCCACUUGGAGAAGGAAGGGUGGUGCAGUUUGGUUGGAUGCCCCGUUUCUAAAAAAAAUUGUUGAAAACUGCAGCUCGUUGAAAAAAUGUUAAGUGGUGGAGCUCAUUGUAAACUGCAGCCCAUUCAGAGUUUGAAUGAAGUCACUUUGAAUGCCAUGUGAUGUGGCUGGGGAUAUAAUGCAUCCCGUCUCUGAAUUGAUGUCAAUUUUUUGUUGUGUUUUUUGCUGUGCAAAUAGAUGUUGGUUCUUGAUUGCUAAUUAGAAAAUACAACAUACAUUUUUCUAGAGCUC